rnacentral:rRNA from 1 species
AAACUAACAAGGAUUCCCCUAGUAACGGCGAGCGAACCGGGAAGAGCUCAAAUUUGAAAUCUGGCGUCCUUCGGGCGUCCGAGUUGUAAUCUAUAGAGGCGUUUUCCGUGCCGGACCGUGUCCAAGUCCCUUGGAACAGGGUAUCAAAGAGGGUGACAAUCCCGUACUUGACACGACCCCCGGUGCUCUGUGAUACGUCUUCUACGAGUCGAGUUGUUUGGGAAUGCAGCUCAAAACGGGUGGUAAACUCCAUCUAAAGCUAAAUAUUGGUGGGAGACCGAUAGCGAACAAGUACCGUGAGGGAAAGAUGAAAAGCACUUUGGAAAGAGAGUUAAACAGUAUGUGAAAUUGUUGAAAGGGAAACGAUUGAAGUCAGUCGUGUUCAUCGGACUCAGCCGGCUCUGCGGGUCUACUUCCUUUGAAACGGGGUCAACAUCGGUCUGGAUGGGCGGAUAAUGGCUGGAGGAAAGUAGCACCCCCCGGGGUGUGUUAUAGCCUCCUGUCGCAUACGCUGACCGGGACCGAGGACGCAGCUCGCCUUUAUGGCCGGGUUCGCCCACGUACGAGCUUAGGAUGUUGACAUAAUGGCUUUAAACGAC